ensembl:antisense Gm43257 predicted gene 43257
AGAGGCAAGUAAGAAGACACAUCAGGGCUGGGGCCUGGCUGUCCCUUCCCAAAGCCAGCUGCUCUCACAGAAGACCCAUGGUAUUCAGUGGAGGGUAUAUCUUUCUGUAUGGAGAUUGCUGUGUCCCGGUAUGGUGAGCCUAUGUGGUGUUUCCCGUUUGCUCGUCCCCUCCUGAAUUUCUGUCCACUGACUUCUCAUUGGAAUUUGCUAUUGGGAACCCCACUUAAAAAUGGACAGCAAGAGAUUAGGAUCACUGUGUUCAGUCCUCAUGUCCCACCCCCAUUAGGAGGCCCCAGCCUUGGCCAUCUCAGAUUCUUCAAGACAAGCCAUCUCUAUAUGCCCUUUCUUCCCAGUUCAAUAUCUACUUCCCUUAUCCUUCUGCUAGGGUCUGAGCAGCUAUGAAUCCCCUCGCCAGCUACGGAGUCAUCCAGCACCCUUCUGCUUGAGGUAUUGUAAUGAGUGAGACAACUGGUCCUGUUGGGACCCUCACUGUGUCACACACAUGCCCUCACCACACCAAGCUGAGCUGUCGUGAAGUGAUCUCUCCUCCCUCACGUCAGGAAGUGCCACAAGUCCACAUCCACCAUGGCAAAGAGUCCUUCCACAGCCCAGCCUUGCACCCUGCACCCAGUGUCAGAAAACCCUGAGGAACCUGUCACCAAGUGGCCAAUGACUAAGAUCCCUGCUUCCCCAGAAGGAGCUAGAAACACCUGCCGCAUGGUUGUUCUCAAACUCACCAUUCUCAAGUCUGUCUGCUGACCUGCAGCCAUCGUCAUGUCACCUGGGUUAGGUGUGAACAGGUUAUUUCACCAUUGCAAGUCCCUCUUCCUCCUCCUUGCAAUGUAGACAUGCAGGGCAGGGACUUUUCACAACUGUCUCCCAGGGCCAAGCCCAGUGCUCAGACAUGGUAGUUUUGAGUAAGUACCUGUUGUCUGACAACAGACCAAUGACUAGCCUCGGGUCAUCUGUUAGCCAUCUUCCUUCUUCCCCAAAAUGAGGCAGGACCCCAUGAGGCCAGGAGCCUUCAAGUUCCAUAUCUCCAUCUCCAGCCCACUGGGAAGCAUCCUUUAGCACUGCAGCUACUCCCAGUGGCUGUUUCUGGACCAACUAUUUCCUCUUCUACAGGCUUCUAAGGGCCUUGCCUCGUUAGCAUCUGUUUAUCAGAACUGACCACAUGAAUUCACCUCUUGAUUUAAUAGUAAGCCUUAAUUUAUGCUAAAUGUUUACAAAGCAACUUUUUAAAGCCGGUGUGGUGGAUCAUGGCUGUAAUCCCAGCAGUUGGGAGGCUGUGGUCGACAGAGGGUGGCCAUGAGCCCCAGGUCACACAGGACUGCAGAGUGAGGCACUGUCUCAAAAGAAGAAAAAUAAUCCGCUUCCCAGAUUUCCUGCCUGCAAAACUGUGAAUAAACUCCCAGCAGGAUUUGACCCACUUCCUGUUCCUUGGGCAAGUGAUUGGUUUGUUUGUUGGGCCCCAUUACCUCCCUGUGAGGGUAGGUCCAUGCAUCAUACAUGAACUUCAUUAGUUAUUUUUCUACAAAACAAGGUGGGGCUCUUAGAGACAUGACCCAGCCACUGAUGCUUUCGACCUCGACCACUACCGGCCAGAUAUGGGAGUAACCUGAUUGCUGAAAAUUUAAUGUUUUCUUCCAGGCCCUAGAUGCCACCCCCCCUGCACCCCCUUUCCACCUCCCACUUGGAUAAUUAGCAAAGAGCUGAACCUCCCAAAUCUCUCUAGGGGAGCUUUUCCACCCUAGGCUAAUGAUUUCAUGAGCAGAAUGAAGGUUGGUUAGAAGAAUAUUCUCUGAAAUGUCUGACCUUACUCUACGCUGUCCUUUCCCAGGGACUUGCUAACCCACCCUCUACAGGCUCCCUUCACACAGAGUCCACAGUCGCCUGAGGCUUCUCUCUAAUCUGAGUGACAUCUUGUGAUUAGCACCACUCACAGCUCGGCCUAUCACAUGGCAUGGCUUGCUGUACCAUCACCUUCAAUAUUAGCUACCUCUGGAGUGCCAGCCUGGGUGGCAUGUUGGGGCAGGCCCAGAAUGAACCCUGGAGAACCAGAGAAACAAAACACCUCCUUCAAAAGCAGACAGCUUCACCCACCGGCUCUCAGAGCAUGUCUGUAGGGCGUCCAACCUUGCUACACAUUGUCUCGCUCACCUCGGACGCUUGCAGGACCUGACGAAAGCCUCCAUUACCACCCCUGAAGAUUGCACAAUCAACGCUAUGUAGAUAAUGCUGACAAGUUCUUCAGCCAGCUCAAUAUUGUCUGGUGUGUCUGAAGACAACUACAGUGUACUUACAUAUAAUAAAUAAAUACAUCUUUAAAAGAAUAUUUUCCUAAUCCCAUUAUCCUAAUGUUACAGGUCAGGAAGUUGAAUUCAGAGGCUAAUAGCUUGCUCAGAGAUGCAUAGCUAUAAGCACUGAGCUAGACCUGCUUUCUCCUACAUGCUUGCAGCAGAACUUACCUCCAAUUAAUUUCAAUAUUAAUACAACAAGAAGCCUGUGAUUGUACAGUGGAAAAGGAAGGUGGGCAGGGAAUUUUAGAAACAGGAGAGAGAAGACAGAGAGGAGAAGGAAAGAAGAUGGAGGAAGAGAAAGACGAUCCAGAUUCCACGUGGCUUUAAAUAGCCACAGGUAGCUAUGACUAUCUUAUAAGGGAUGGAUAAUUACAGGACAAUUUGUCCAAUCCAGGUGGGCAGUUUAUAUCAAUAUCAAUUGGCUCUGAGUUCAUUGUGUGGGCAUUUUGUGGGGUGAGAGUUACUGACAUAAAUCUGACUUAUAAAUUCCAAGCCUCUAGAGUUUCGACUUUACUGGGUUCCUGGGAUUUGGAAGCAUUGACCACAGGGGUGGAUGGCUCUGCUCACAGGGAAGGUGAGCAGAAUCCGCAGCAAGAGAACCACAAGAUGGGUGGUUGCUGCAUGGGAUUAGCCAUGGAGGCAGCAAGGUCACCCGAGUCAGAGAGUAGCCAGUGAUAGCGCAGGAUGGGGCUUCUUUUUUUUUUUUUUAAUCUGAACAAACCCUGUAUUCUUUAGACUCUUAUCUCUAAGAUUCCAAACACGUUAUAGCAUUCAACAAAAAUAUUAUAGACAUUUUUCUGCUUUCAUUGUCAAUUUACGGGAUUGUGCUCAAAAAAUAUCCUGAAACAUUUUUAUAAAUCAACUGAGAUAGAACUUAUAUAUGUGUCUGCUUAAACCUUAUUCCCCCAAACCAACGCUAACAGGACCUUAUAGCCAAGAAGUGCUGGCUGUUUUUGUUUUUGAGACACGGUCUUGAUGAUAUAGCCCUGGCUAUCUGGUAACUCUGCAAACCAGACUGACCUUGAACUCCACGACCUGCCUGCCCGUCUCCCAGUGCUGGGGUUAAAGACCUGUACCACGGCAAAGAAUAGCUGGUGUUUUAACAGUCAGAGAUACACAUUAGUUUAACUGGAAGUCUGAACUGGAAGCAACCAUGGCAGUAAGCUGAAAUCUGUCAGCUAAUUUGAUAAAAUAGUUUUUGUCUCAAAAUUAUCAGCCAUUUCUUUUAGCUGAUACUUCUUUUACUAGCUUUAUAAAAAGAAAAUGAACAAUCUAACUUAACUAUAAAGCUGGUUCUCAUUUUUCACACUGUUAUUUUUUAAAUAGUUUUUAACUUAAUUUAUUCACAUUAUAUUUUUAAACUCCACAUUCUUUUCUAUAUAGUUGCAUGUCAAAAAAUACUAAAGAGUUUCACGGUUUGCUGAAAUACAUGUAGGAAAACAUAGAUAUGUGGCAUAAUAGCUUGCUUAAAUUUCUCUUAAAGAAACAUAAUUAAUUUAAAGAGUUCCAACACAUUUUUUUAAAAAAAUUCCAGCAACGAUUAUUUCUGAAAUGUAUAAAAUUUAAAUAAUUAAAAGGUUAAAAACCAAAAUG